rnacentral:tRNA from 1 species
GAGGGUAUAGCUCAGUGGUAGAGCGCAUGCUUAGCAUGCAUGAGGUCCUGGGUUCAAUCCCCACUACCUCCA